rnacentral:tRNA from 1 species
CGGGUAUUUAUAGUCAUUAUUAUUCUUGUAGUUGAAUUAACAACAAUAGUUUUUCAAGUUAUUGGUCUUG